rnacentral:rRNA from 1 species
AACGAACGCUGGCGGCAUGCCUAACACAUGCAAGUCGAACGGGAUCCUGGUUUCGGCCAGGUGAGAGUGGCGGACGGGUGAGUAACGCGUGGGAACCUGCCCAGUGGUGGGGGAGUAACUGCGGGAAACGUGCAGCUAAUACCGCAUGAGCCCGCAAGGGAAAGAUUGAUCGCCAUUGGAGGGGCCCGGCGUUCGAUUAGGUAGUUGGUGAGGUAACGGCUCACCAAGCCUACG